rnacentral:rRNA from 1 species
CGGGGGACAACAUUUAGGAAACAGAUGCUAAUACCGCAUAACAGCGUUGUUCGCAUGAACAACGCUUAAAACAUGGCUUCUCGCUAUCACUUCUGGAUGGACCUGCGGUGCAUUAGCUUGUUGGUGGGGUAACGGCCUACCAAGGCGAUGAUGCAUAGCCGAGUUGAGAGACUGAUCGGCCACAAUGGGACUGAGACACGGCCCAUACUCCUACGGGAGGCAGCAGCAGGGAAUCUUCCACAAUGGGCGCAAGCCUGAUGGAGCAACACCGCGUGAGUGAAGAGGGGUUUCGGCUCGUAAAGCUCUGUUGUUAAAGAAGAACACGUAUGAGAGUAACUGUUCAUACGUUGACGGUAUUUAACCAGAAAGUCACGGCUAACUACGUGCCAGCAGCCGCGGUAAUACGUAGGUGGCAAGCGUUAUCCGGAUUUAUUGGGCGUAAAGAGAGUGCAGGCGGUUUUCUAAGUCUGAUGUGAAAGCCUUCGGCUUAACCGGAGAAGUGCAUCGGAAACUGGAUAACUUGAGUGCAGAAGAGGGUAGUGGAACUCCAUGU